UCUUGUGCUGUGGUUGAAUGGAUGGAGGGAGUGAGGGAGGAAGAGGAGGAAGAAGAGAAGGAGGAAGAGGAGAAAGAGGAGGAGGAGGGCUCGCACAGCACUGGGACAAGGCACAAAAUGUGGGUCUCUAGAGGAUCACCCCUUCUUCACAGGUGUUCCUGGGAUCUGUCAGAAGCUGUUCCAGCACAGGAGAAAAUGCCUUAUUAGCCUGCUGGAACCUGAGCUUCCUACCUCCCUGGCUCUGCUCUUCAGGGGUGCUGCCUGCGGCCCACAGUCUCCUCUUGACUCAGCAUCUUUGUGGACACCUGGCGUCCCAUCUGUGACUCCUGCUAGCCUGAUGCCCAGUGCCUCAUGACAGCAUCUGACACUAGCGGAUGCAAACGCUGAGGAGUCUCCACCCCUGGGAGCUCACACCCUCAUCAUGGUCACCCUGGUGGGAAGCUUGAUGGGUGAGCCAAGUCCUGGUAGUCUGGUCCUGGUUCCGUUCACUUCCCAGUCCCUGCCUCCUGAUCCUGCAGCCCUUCAGACACACACUAACAAGCAUGGCCAGCUGACUCUUUCUGUUGUUGUAUGUUCCAAAGCAGACCCUGUAGCUGCAACCCACUGGGACAUCUGUGUCACUGUGUUAUAAACAGGACAUCUGGUUACA